rnacentral:tRNA from 1 species
GGAAUAGCUCAGUUGGUAGAGCAUUGGUCUCCAAAACCAAGGGUCGUGAGUUCGAGUCUUACUUCC